UCUAAUGAUUCAUGUCCAUGGCAAUUGAAUUUCCUGGAGAAAAGCAUCCUGAAAUUUGAAGUUACAGUCUUGGCUUUUAAAACUCUGACUAUAAAACCUUUCUCUGAGUGGAAAAUAGGCUAAAUCAUGUUUUCUUGUCUUUUUCCUCUCACCUAUUCUGUUCCUUGAGCUUCUGAUUCACGACUAUGCACCAAGGACAUUGCGGAUGUGGGAGUGAAAUGAUUCUACAAUAUUUAGCUCUACAGAGAGAGGCAGACUUGGCUCUGAAGAGGCUGCUAAUUGGCUAAUCUAAUUUCACCUCCUCCGAAGACCUCAGAUGCCAGGAGCGAUGCUUAACUCUUCCUACACUGUCUCUGAUGCAUUUUUGAGUGGUAGCAAAUCUGAUCUCAAAGCUGUUUUUUCUGUAUAUUCCUGUGGAUUACGAAAAAGGGAGCACAUGUCUUUCUCAGCCCUCAGCUUUGUGCGGUGCUAAUAUGUGGGAAAGCUCUUGGGUCAAGAUGGAAGAGAGGUGGUCAUGAUAUUCAAAC